AGGAAAUAGAUACCCCGGUAGUCCAUGCUGUAAACGAUGAGAACUAGAUGUUGGGGGGCAUGACCUCUCAGUAUCGAAAGCUAACGCGAUAAGUUCUCCGCCUGGGGAGUACGGCCGCAAGGUUAAAACUCAAAGAAAUUGACGGGGGCCCGCACAAGCGGUGGAGCAUGUGGUUUAAUUCGAUGCAACGCGAAGAACCUUACCUACCUUUGAAUCCACGGAACCUAGCAGAGAUGUUGGGGUGCCUUCGGGAACCGUGAGACAGGUGCUGCAUGGCUGUCGUCAGCUCGUGUCGUGAGAUGUUGGGUUAAGUCCCGUAACGAGCGCAACCCUUGUCCUUAGUUGCCAUCAGGUUACGCUGGGCACUUUAAGGAGACUGCCGGUGAUAAACCGGAGGAAGGUGGGGAUGACGUCAAGUCCUCAUGGCCCUUACAGGUAGGGCUACACACGUGCUACAAUGGGCAGUACAGAGGGAAGCCAACCCGCGAGGGGAGCGAAUCUCAUAAAGCUGUUCGUAGUCCGGAUUGGAGUCUGCAACUCGACUCC
rnacentral:rRNA from 1 species